UACAGAGGUCUCAAGCGUUGUUCGGAUUCAUUGGGCGUAAAGGGUGCGUAGGUGGCGCUGUAAGUCGGGUGUGAAAUUUCGGAGCUUAACUCCGAAACUGCAUUCGAUACUGCGGUGCUUGAGGACUGGAGAGGAGACUGGAAUUCAUGGUGUAGCAGUGAAAUGCGUAGAGAUCAUGAGGAAGACCAGUGGCGAAGGCGGGUCUCUGGACAUGUCCUGACGCUGAUGCACGAAGGUCAGGGGAGCAAACGGG
rnacentral:rRNA from 1 species